rnacentral:rRNA from 1 species
GUCCACGCUGUAAACGAUGAAUACUAGCCGCUGGGUGUUAAACGCAUAGUGGCGCAGCAAACGCGAUAAGUAUUCCGCCUGGGGAGUACGGCCGCAAGGCUAAAACUCAAAGGAAUUGACGGGGCCCGCACAAGCGGUGGAGCAUGUGGUUUAAUUCGAUGCAACGCGCAGAACCUUACCUACCCUUGACAUCCUGCGAAGGUUCCAGAGAUGGGACGGUGCCUUCGGGAACGCAGAGACAGGUGCUGCAUGGCUGUCGU